rnacentral:rRNA from 1 species
GACGAACGCUGGCGGCGUGCUUAACACAUGCAAGUCGAACGGAAAGGCCCUGCUUUUGUGGGGUGCUCGAGUGGCGAACGGGUGAGUAACACGUGAGUAACCUGCCCUUGACUUUGGGAUAACUUCAGGAAACUGGGGCUCAUACCGGAUAGGAGCUCCUGCUGCAUGGUGGGGGUUGGAAAGUUUCGGCGGUUGGGGAUGGACUCGCGGCUUAUCAGCUUGUUGGUGGGGUAGUGGCUUACCAAGGCUUUGACGGGUAGCCGGCCUGAGAGGGUGACCGGCCACAUGGGGACUGAGAGACGGCCCAGACUCCUACGUGAGGCAGCAGUGGAGGAUAUUGCACAAUGGGCGGAAGCCUGAGGCAACAACGCCGCGUGCGGGAUGACGGCCUUCGGGUUGUAAACCGCCUUCGCCUGUGACGAGGCGUGAGUGACGGUAAUGGGUAAAGAAGCACCGGCUAACUACGUG